rnacentral:rRNA from 1 species
GACGAACGCUGGCGGCGUGCCUAAUACAUGCAAGUAGAACGCUGAAGGAGGAGCUUGCUCUUCUGGAUGAGUUGCGAACGGGUGAGUAACGCGUAGGUAACCUGCCUGGUAGCGGGGGAUAACUAUUGGAAACGAUAGCUAAUACCGCAUAAGAGUAGAUGUCGCAUGACAUUUGCUUAAAAGGUGCAAUUGCAUCACUACCAGAUGGACCUGCGUUGUAUUAGCUAGUUGGUGAGGUAACGGCUCACCAAGGCAACGAUACAUAGCCGACCUGAGAGGGUGAUCGGCCACACUGGGACUGAGACACGGCCCAGACUCCUACGGGAGGCAGCAGUAGGGAAUCUUCGGCAAUGGACGGAAGUCUGACCGAGCAACGCCGCGUGAGUGAAGAAGGUUUUCGGAUCGUAAAGCUCUGUUGUAAGAGAAGAACGAGUGUGAGAGUGGAAAGUUCACACUGUGACG